UAUUUUUUAAUAAAUUAACUGUGUAAUGUAAAUUUGCUGUCUGAGAAAAAAUAUUUUUCUUAUUUAACUAAUAAAUAUCAAUUGGCAUAUUAUUAUAAAAAUACUUUUUUUGUAAAAUUAGGGCCCCGAAAAUAAAUUAGCCCAGGGCCACUAAUUUCAUUAAUCUGGCUCUGGAUGUGUGCAUUAUACUCAUGUUAUAUAUGAGUCGUCCAGUUCCAAAGGUAGUAUGUCCAUAUUUUAGUUGCAAAAGGGAAUAUGUCCAAUUUUAAAUAUAAAUUAUUUAAAAAACUACUUAUCCACGAUUUCUAUAGUCUAAAAAAAGUAAAAUGUUUUUUUUUACAUAUAUUUAUGAAAAAAAAUGGUGACGUUUUAUAAAAUAUUAAUGGAAAUAUCAGUUUUUUGCUGUUUGUGAAAACUUUAUUUGUUUGGACAUACUACCUUUUGCAACUGGACGACUCAUAUAUACAAUAUUAAUUACCCAUUUGUGUUUUAUGCGUGUAUUUUAGAGCGGUGAGCUCUAAAACUCCAAAAUUGUCACUAGAGGGUAACAGAGUUUAUUGUACCAACAUUAACUCGACGAUGGAUGACGAAAAAUUCGAUAUCGUAUUGUUUUGUCAAAUUUCCAUCGCCUUUCUGGAUUUGCAGCUGAAGGAAGCACCAGUCUAUGGCAACAUUGUCCUUUACGACCUACGAUACGUCCAACUAUCUCAAUUUCUAGCUUUUACUCCUACCUUAAUCAAACACUUAUUAAAAUGUUGAAUAGUAAAUAUACUUUGUAUAAAAAAUAUUUUAUCACCUCUCAAUAGUAUCUGUUGUUGAACGAUUCUUAAGUACUUAAGUACUCUUAAGACUAUAUGAUUAUAUUGAUACGAGUCAUUACGCAGAGGGGAUGAAACUACCAAACUCUUCUCUUUUUUUCAUUUAUUUCGUACACCCAUAUUCACUCCUUUUCUUUUUUUUUUUUUUUUUUCAUUGCAAGGAGUAACAUACCUACACCACUUUUGAAUUAUGUCAUUGUUAAUGUCCAACACGUUUUAUAGAUUUUCAUCCAUGAUUCAUUAGAAGAACUGUACCAAUAUAUCCCGAAAAAUGUUUUGCCUGGCAUGUAUGGUGGUGCCAGUGGAAGCAUUGAAAAAUUUGAAGACAAGUAACUUACCUUAUGUAUUGAUUCAUGUACACACACACACAUAUAUAUAUAUAUAUAAUUUUUCACUAAAACAUAUUUCUAACAAAAUUUUAUUUUUGUUUUUAUUGUGGUGGAACUAGAAGAUAAAGUAUUUAAUCAGUAUUAUUAUUUAUACUGUUUUGAAAUGAGUAUCAGUAAAUAAUUAUUGUGGUACUAAACUGGAGAGUAGUAAUUUUGUAUUUUUAUAACUUUGGUGUUAAGGACCUUAUUUGAACUAUUUGCCAAUAAAAUAAUAAAAGUAACUAUGGUAAUAGUUGAGUAUAUAUAGUAUAUAUACUAUAAAUAAUAUGAGAUUUGAGGGAGUUGAAACUUUCAACUAGUUACCAAGCAAAAUCAGCCAAGCAGUCAACCACGGAAAAAUCAAAAUGUGGAACAUGUGGUCGAUCAAACCACACACAAAAGGAAUGCCGAUACAAGGACUACAGCUGUAAUAUUUGCAACAUCAAAGGUCAUUUGGCUCCUAUGUGUAAAAACGAUGUGUUAGAAUUUUUGAUGACUAACAAAGAAAAAAAAAAGGUUGGAAAGUCGUCCAAAUACUGACUUUUCAAGACUACCCAAGUAUACAAAAAUCAAUAAAUUGAAUAUGAAUGGCACAUUCAAAAAGCUGUAAAUCGACUAACUAAUUUGUAUCAUAUAAUGUCCACAGUAUAUAAUAAACCUAUGUAGUAUUUAUGUGUAUACUACAUGGCCAAUAGACCAAAUAAAUUCUAGUUUGUAUAAAAAGA
rnacentral:misc_RNA from 1 species